rnacentral:rRNA from 1 species
UACGUAGGCAGCAAGCGUUGUUCGGAAUUACUGGGCGUAAAGAGUGUGUAGGCGGUGUUCCAAGUCUGGUGUGAAAUCUCCCGGCUUAACUGGGAGGGUGCAUUAGAAACUGGAAUGCUAGAGGAUGGGAGAGGUAAGCGGAAUUCCUGGUGUAGCGGUGAAAUGCGUAGAUAUCAGGAGGAACACCUGUGGUGUAGACAGCUUACUGGACCAUUUCUGACGCUGAGACACGAAAGCCGUGGGUAGCAAACAGG